ACACUCCUGCGGGAGGCAGCAGUGGGGAAUUUUGGACAAUGGGCGAAAGCCUGAUCCAGCAAUGCCGCGUGAGUGAAGAAGGCCUUCGGGUUGUAAAGCUCUUUUGUCAGGGAAGAAACGGUGAAAGCUAAUAUCUUUUGCUAAUGACGGUACCUGAAGAAUAAGCACCGGCUAACUACGUGCCAGCAGCCGCGGUAAUACGUAGGGUGCAAGCGUUAAUCGGAAUUACUGGGCGUAAAGCGUGCGCAGGCGGUUUUGUAAGUCUGAUGUGAAAUCCCCGGGCUCAACCUGGGAAUUGCAUUGGAGACUGCAAGGCUAGAAUCUGGCAGAGGGGGGUAGAAUUCCACGUGUAGCAGUGAAAUGCGUAGAUAUGUGGAGGAAAACCGAUGGCGAAGGCAGCCCCCUGGGUCAGGAUUGACGCUCAUGCACGAAAGCGUGGGGAGCAAACAGGAUUAGAAACCCUAGUAGUCCCAUCAU
rnacentral:rRNA from 1 species